rnacentral:rRNA from 1 species
UACGUAGGGUGCGAGCGUUAAUCGGAAUUACUGGGCGUAAAGCGUGCGCAGGCGGUUUUGUAAGCCAGAUGUGAAAUCCCCGGGCUCAACCUGGGAAUGGCAUUUGGGACUGCAAGGCUGGAGUUUGGCAGAGGAGACUGGAAUUCCUGGUGUAGCAGUGAAAUGCGUAGAUAUCAGGAGGAAUACCGAUGGCGAAGGCAGGUCUCUGGACAGUUCCUGACGCUGAGGCACGAAGGCCAGGGGAGCAAACGGG